rnacentral:misc_RNA from 1 species
GUGAAUCAUCGAAUUUUUGAACGCAAAUUGCGCCUUUUGCGAAAGGCAUGUGUGUUUGAGGGCACCAUUCAACAAUUACUUUGCAGCGGGUUUUGUUGCACACGUUGUUGAGCUUUCCACGAAUUUUAAAGUUUUGGUGGCGCAUAAUGAACAGCGUGAAGCUUUUUUUUCAGUUCGAGUGGUGUAAAUUCUUUGCUUGGGAUGUGAAAAGCGUAAUCGCGCAAUUG